rnacentral:tRNA from 1 species
GUGCCGGUGGUGCAAUGGCGUAGAGCAUUCCCGCCCGGUCAGAGGGAGGUGCGGGUUCGAGUCCCGCCUGGUGCU